rnacentral:rRNA from 1 species
GAUGAACGCUGGCGGCGUGCCUAAUACAUGCAAGUCGAGCGAAUGGAUUAAGAGCUUGCUCUUAUGAAGUUAGCGGCGGACGGGUGAGUAACACGUGGGUAACCUGCCCAUAAGACUGGGAUAACUCCGGGAAACCGGGGCUAAUACCGGAUAACAUUUUGAACCUCAUGGUUCGAAAUUGAAAGGCGGCUUCGGCUGUCACUUAUGGAUGGACCCGCGUCGCAUUAGCUAGUUGGUGAGGUAACGGCUCACAAAGGCAACGAGGCGUAGCCGACCUGAGAGGGUGGUCGGCGAACAUGGGACUGAGAGACGGCCCAGACUCCUACGGGAGGCAGCAGUAGGGAAUCUUCCGCAAUGGACGAAAGUCUGACGGAGCAAUGCCGCGUGAGUGAUGAAGGCUUUCGGGUCGUAAAACUCUGUUGUUAGGGAAGAACAAGUGCUAGUUGAAUAAGCUGGCACCUUGACGGUACCUAACCAGAAAGCCACGGCUAACUACGUGCCAGCAGCCGCGGUAA